rnacentral:tRNA from 1 species
GCGGUUAUAGUUGAAUGGUACAAUUCUCGCCUUCCAAGCGAGAGGUAUGGGUUCGAGUCCCGUUAACCGCA